rnacentral:lncRNA from 1 species
AUGUGGACCAGUAGACUCCGGUUCCUCUCUCAAGCCUGCUGUCAUGACCGGAGACGGGCUCUGAGCAGAGCUCUGUACGCUCUGAGACGGGCCAUCUACAUGCGUCGUGCUCAAACUGAUGCAGUGGAGAGGAGGACAAGCGCUUUUCUGCUCUCUCACAGUUUUUACCAGUGGAAGAAUCACUAUGAGAGCAAACACCUGGAAAACACAUUCAACACAGCCGCUCUGAGAAAACGACUCGUUCCUCCCAGCCGUGCUUCAGUCCUGAGGACCACACGUUCCUCCUGUGAUUCAUCAUCAUCUGUGUGUACUGUACAAGCACUGGCUGCUCUGGAGGCAGGUGUGCUCGAGGUGGUCAUGUGUUCGGUGGGACAGGAGACUCCAGAGCAAAGCCUGGACCCUGUGGACAUCAACCUGGCAGAGGACACAGCUGUCCGCACAUCAGUUCAGGAUGCAUUUGUUAUCAUCAGCAUGGAAGGGCUUGAAGAUCAGGAACAGAGAGAUGAAGAUGGAGAAGUUGAUUCAGUCCAUUCAGAGGAGCCAGCUUCUUCACUCUUUCCAUCUCUGGAAGAAAAGAGCAGAAACCUGUCAAAACGACAGAGAGAAACGGUUCGUUUUGAGCCGACGCUCCCUGCUCUCCUGGUACUCCUGCGUUCAGAAGAACAAGCUAACACGAUUGAGCAGCAGAGCACGAUGGAUGCUUUCCAGAUGGACGUUAGCAGGUGGGUGAGCUGCCUGACACUGACAGCACUGAGUCUGCUGAGGUGA